rnacentral:tRNA from 5 species
CCGUAGCUCAGCUGGAUAGAGUACCUGACUACGAAUCAGGUGGUCGGAGGUUCGAAUCCUCCCGG